GACGAACCGAGCAAACGUUAUUCGGAAUCACUGGGCUUAAAGGGCGCGUAGGCGGGCAUUCAAGUCCGUGGUGAAAUCCGGCAGCUCAACUGUCGAACUGCCGCGGAUACUGGGUGUCUCGAGGGAGGUAGGGGCGUGCGGAACUAUUGGUGGAGCGGUGAAAUGCGUUGAUAUCAAUAGGAACUCCGGUGGCGAAGGCGGCACGCUGGACCUCUUCUGACGCUGAGGCGCGAAAGCCAGGGGAGCAAACGGG
rnacentral:rRNA from 1 species